rnacentral:rRNA from 1 species
UACGUAGGGCGCAAGCGUUGUCCGGAAUUAUUGGGCGUAAAGAGCUCGUAGGCGGCUUGUCGCGUCGGUUGUGAAAGCCCGGGGCUCAACUCCGGGUCUGCAGUCGAUACGGGCAGGCUAGAGUUCGGUAGGGGAGAUCGGAAUUCCUGGUGUAGCGGUGAAAUGCGCAGAUAUCAGGAGGAACACCGAUGGCGAAGGCAGGUCUCUGGGCCACUACUGACGCUGAGAAGCGAAAGCAUGGGGAGCGAACAGG